GGAUUGUGGCUCAGUGGUAGAGCACUUGCUUAGUACCUAUGAGGCACUGAGUUCAACCCCAGCACCA
rnacentral:tRNA from 1 species